rnacentral:tRNA from 1 species
UUAAUUGAAACCAAAAUAGAGGUAUGUCACUGUUAAUGACAUUAUUGAAUCAAAAUUCCAAUUAAA